ensembl:snRNA U6 U6 spliceosomal RNA
GUGCACACUUUGGCAGCACACAUACUAAAAUUGGUACAAUACAGAGAAGAUCAGCAUAUCCCCUGUGCAAGGACAUGCAAAUUCAUGAAGCAUUUCACAAAUUA